rnacentral:rRNA from 1 species
GACGAACGCUGGCGGCGUGCCUAACACAUGCAAGUCGAACGGAAAGGCCCUGCUUUCGUGGGGUUCUCGAGUGGCGAACGGGUGAGUAACACGUGAGUAACCUGCUCUUGUCUUUCGGAUAACUUCACGAAACUGGGGUUAAUACCGGAUCGCAUCCCCCGCUCCAUGGUGGGGGUUGGAUCGUCUCGGCGGGUGGGGAUGGACUCGCGGCUUAUCAGCUUGCUGGUGGGGUAGUGGCUUACCAAGGCUUUGACGGGUAGCCGGCCUGGGAGGGUGACCGGGCACAUUGGGACUGAGGUACGGACCAGACGGGUACGUGGGGCAACAGGGGGGAGUAUUGCACAGUGGGCGGGAGCCUGAUGCGGAGGCGCCGCGUGCGGGAUGACGGCCUUCUGGUUAUGAACCGCUUUCGCCUGUGACGCAGCGGGAGUGACGGUAAUGAGUAAAGAAGCACCGGCUAACUACGUG